GCCUUCGGGGUGUAGUGGUCUGCACACUGGGCCGGAAUUCCAGAGGUCCCUGGUUCGAUUCCCGGCGAAGGCG
rnacentral:tRNA from 1 species